GCCCUCUUGGCUCAGUUGGUUAAGGUGCUUGAUCUAGUAUGCAAUUAUGUAAUCUAGGUCAGCUCUCUGUUUUGGGUUCGAAUCCCAGAAGUGUCA